UACGGGGGGGGCAAGCGUUGUUCGGAAUUAUUGGGCGUAAAGAGCUCGUAGGCGGUUUGUCACGUCUGCUGUGAAAACUGGAGGCUCAACCUCCAGCCUGCAGUGGGUACGGGCAGACUAGAGUGCGGUAGGGGAGAUUGGAAUUCCUGGUGUAGCGGUGGAAUGCGCAGAUAUCAGGAGGAACACCGGUGGCGAAGGCGGGUCUCUGGGCCGUAACUGACGCGUGAAGAGCGAAAGCAUGGGGGAGCGAACAGG
rnacentral:rRNA from 1 species